CAGACUUGUGCAGUGGAGGAGGAUCUGAAAAGGUGUGGGCUCUUGGGAUGCUGAAGAGACCAGAGAAAGAGGAGGAGUUUGAUAUAAAUUGUGAAAUCACCCAUACAUGUGAUAUCUGUGGGAGAAUUUCAGAUGACAUUAAACAGCAAAUAAAAUACCAUGACAAGUGGAAAGAAAGGCCACAGAAGAAAGUUUUGUUUUUGUUGUUGUUGU